ensembl:lncRNA
AUCUACAGUAAAAUAUAAGGUUGCUGCCUGAAGGAUCAAGACCCCUUUUAGAUACAGAAAGAACCUUCUCCUCAAUGGACUGAGAAGCCCCAGCCCUCAUCCUGUCCUUGUAAGGAAGGUAUUCCAUCCCUUGGAUUACUUCUGUUGCCCCCUCUGGACACGCUCCAACAGCUCUACAUCUCUCCUGUACUGAGGACUCUGCAUCUGGACGCAGUACUCCAGACCUUACCUCAUCGUUACACAUAAUCAUCGUGACAGAGGUAACAAUUGCUACAGCUAGAUCUCGAUCGUGUUCAGGUACUUAAGAGCACUUUAUGAAUCACUCAAAUGCAAAAGGAGG